UGUUAUAUGUAGCAUCAUUGGGGGAGAGAUAGAGAAAAAGAGGAAAGAAAGUUUUUAUAGUUAGCGCUUGAACUUUCUUAGUACAAUUGAUUUUUUAGUUUCUUUUGAUUACUGCCCCAUGACAGACUAUAGCUAGGUUUAAUUUUAACAUAUCAGUUACAUACAAAUUGGGGGGAAAUGCAACUGCAGAGGCUGGCCAUAUUGCUAUGAACUUGUCCAGACAUCCUUUGCAACUCUUAUGCGCAAGCAACUAUGUUAAAAUGUUGUAUCAAAAUCCUCUUUUAGAAUGUCAUGUGCACGUUCCAUGUGUUCAAUGUCAAUGUAUGUGUUUAAGUGUAUCUGUGUGUGU